rnacentral:lncRNA from 1 species
UUUUUUUUUUCUCUUCUAAAUAUAAGAGCAGGAUGACACUGAAUGAACUAAAUUCAACUUAGACUCCAAUGGUCAAUAUGAUUGCAGUCCGCUGAGUGGUUGAUUUGCAAGUCAGCUGAUGUUGAAUUAUUUUUUUCGAAACGGAGGCAAAGAUUGCCUCAUCUAUUAAUUAAGCAGAAGAGAAUUAUGGGAUGUGUGUCUGACAGCCAAUGCAAACCGAGUUGCAAUCAAAUCAUUAAAUAACUAGCAGGGUUGCAUCAAAAUCAUGCAAACCGAGUUACCAUCAAAUUCAUGAGUAAUUAGCAGGGUUGCAUCAAAUCAUGCAAACCGAGUUGCAAUCAAAUUCACAAGUAAUUAACAGGGGUUGCAUCAGACAUUGACACAAGAGGAGAUUGAAACCAUCACUCAUCAAUAAAGUCGCACAUGAAAGGUUACCUACGGAAACAGAUAUAAUCACAGUACAAUGUUCCCUCUAUCAUUGGUACAAGGCUACAAUCAUGAUCCAGAAGGAGAGCACCAUAUGCUUCAUAUGAUCAAGUAGGUUCAGCAGCUCCUUGUGCAGGAAAUGGCUUUCGGCAAUCAGGAGAAAGACAAUGCUUUGAGAAACCACAUCUAAGCAAACUGAUACAUGAUUGAAGUGUAAAAUUGCAAAAACAAAAUCCUGGAGAUGCAUGGAACACUUCAUCAAGUGAUGUGUACACCAAGAACCAAAAAUACAAACAAUGCCUCAGGUUUGUCGAUUGAUGUCAUCUUCUCAAGAGGUUCUCCCUGAAUUAGCAUCCAUUUUGCAUACAGAAACAUCAUUAGCAAAACCGUAAGUAAUUACAAUGCAGCAAGAUAUCAUGAACUGAGGGCAGAGAAAAAAAAAGGUAUAAACCAAUGGAAGAGGGCAUUCCAUUUGUUUUCAAUCACAUCCCAAACAAUUCAAAAUAGGAUGAUGUUUCUUUGUGGUUCGGGAAACCUUUGUGAUUCAAAAUAGGACUGCACUAGAAAGUCAUCACAAACCUUUGUUGCCAAAUAAGAAAUCACACACGUCAGUUCACCACAAUAUUAUACGAUGUCUCAGAUUUGUCAAUAUUUUGCAGACAGAAUCAUCACUGGAGCACCACAGAUUUAAAAUGGCAUGCCACAAAGGCAGUUCGGUUGCUAAAUACAAAACCACACAUCUCAAUCCAACCUUACUACUAAAAUCACAAGGCACUAAAGAGGAUCAAAAUAUACAAUGUAUCAGGUUUGUUGAAUUAUGUCAUUAUUAUGUCUGCUUCAUCAAGAGGUUCUCCCAGAAACAGGGGCUUGAAUCCACAGAAGAUCCAUUUUGCAAACAGAGUCAUCAUUGGAACACCGAACACCAAAAACAAUGCAGUAGCUAAAUACAGAAUCACACCCAAUCCAACCUUACUAAUAUAUUAUAUAUGCUUCCUCAAGAAGUUCUGCCGGAUACAAUGAUUUGAGUCCCCAGGAUAUCCAUUUUGCUCACAUCAACGAACACCACUUCUUCAAGAUAGGCAUAAGGUAAGAUAGUACCCGAUAGCUACUGCAUUUCUUACACCAGAUGCUCAGAUAUGAAAACCUAAACGGAUAACAUGGAUACAUAUAACUACGACGAUACUAGCAGUCUCGGCCGGAAGAUAGUAGGCGGAGAAGUCGGCCCAGUUUGGCGGCUCGGGGACCUCCUUCUGUGGAAGGGAAGCGGGAGCAACGUACCCAACCAUCCCCUCCGUUGCGUACGGCGCGUCCUUGAUGAAAUCUCCGACUGCUUCUGCCAGGUCCACAUGGCGAUGCCCGCGAGGGUCACGGGGAUGACGACGGGUGGGCCUUCCGUGGACUCGCCAGAACCAUUCCCGGCCUCGCCGCCGCCGCCGCCGCCGCCCUUGGUGUGCAGAGGCUCGCCGCCGUCGCAGAUGCCCGCCUUGGCGCCGCCGUCGCCGACGCUCGCCUUGGUGCUCUGCCGGCGCACAGCCGCCGGCUUGAAUGCGUUGCGAACGCGCAUCCAGCCGGCGCGGUGCAUUUUCUCCGGUGGGUCUUUGGUCGGUGGCGGCGGUGGGGGAGGAGGAUGGGGAGAGGUAGGGUUAGUUUUAUACGGGACACUAAUCCGUAGCC